AGCUUCAGUAGCGUAUAUUAAAGUUGUUGCAGUUAAAAAGCUCGUAGUCGCAUUUCUGGCGAGAGGAUCCGGUCCGACCUUUUGGUGGGUUCUUGGGUCUCUUUCGCCAUCCUUGAGUGGUCCGUUCUGGCAUUAGGUUGUCGGAGCGUCAGCCGCUCAUCGUUUACUGUGAGAAAAUUAGAGUGUUCAAAGCAGGCUUAUGCCGUUGAAUAUAUUAGCAUGGAAUAAUAAGAUAGGACCUCGGUACUAUUUUGUUGGUUUGCGCACCAAGGUAAUGAUGAACAGGGACAGUUGGGGGUAUUUGUAUUUCGUUGUCAGAGGUGAAAUUCUUAGAUUUACGAAAGACAAACUACUGCGAAAGCAUUUGCCAAGAAUGUCUUCA
rnacentral:rRNA from 1 species